rnacentral:lncRNA from 1 species
AUUUAAAUACUUAAAAGUAGGUACUAGGUACCACCAGAUCAUCCAUAAACCAUAAGACAAGCAAAAUCAAAGCUACUAAAUUACUAGAAGUCAAUCAACAUCUUCUUCUUCUAUGUCUUCUUCUCCUUCAAGAUUGUCAAAAUCUUGAAUUCCUCGGUUAUCUUCAUAUUGCUUGUCAUCUUCUUCUUCCCCCUCCUCUUCAUAAUCAUUCUCAUCUUCAUCAAUGGAUCGACUUGUAGUAACCGCACUUUUUCCCUUCCUAAUAGAACUUGAACUUGGAGUACAACUCCUUAAACUAUAAGGAUCCUCCCCAACUCCACUAGCAACCGCAACAUAACCCCAAGUUAAAUCGGGGUCGCCUUCAAAUACUUCUUUAUCUUCACAAUUUUCGGGGAC